rnacentral:rRNA from 5 species
GUGAACUGCGGAAGGAUCAUUA